UCAACAACCCAUGCAGUAGCCUCAUAGACUGUGGGUACCAUUCAUAUCGACUUACGGCGAGCAUGGUGAGCACCCAAUGGGUUUAGGACCCGGAUCCAGGCCGGAAGAAGCAUAACAAGAAACGUCUCGUCGUCGUCACCCAGGUCAUCACUCGCCCAGCAUCAUCAUCACAAUUAUCAGCAUCAUCCUCCUCCACCUCUGAGGUAGGCGCCAUCUCCGGGUCCAGCCUUAAAAUUACAUCGAUGCUGCGCCGUCAUGAUGUCUUAUCUCAGCCCACCAGCUCUAAUAAUGUGUUUCAGUGUGUUAGUUAGCGGGCAAACAGCGGACUCCGUAUCAAAUGAGAGGCCUUAUGUGGUCCUACAGAAGCAGAAUUUAGUCACACUGGGGAGUGUCCUCGCAGUUCUGCUGGUGUUGAUGCUGAUCAUGGCUGUGUGUGUUUACAAACCGCUGUCCCGUCGGUGAAAACGGGCCUGAACAAACAGAUGGAGAACAAACCUGCUUGUCCGCCCGGGCUAAGUGACACUGCACAUAUGGCAAACCCUGGCCACACUCAGCACACCGAGGAGUUCAGCCCUGGGUCAGUAGAUCCAGGCUAUCCAAGCUUAAGCUAUGAUUAACUGAAAAUACCCAGACUGCUGGAGCUGGCUCUGCAAGGAAAUCAGGUCUUUAACUUUAAGCCCUAUACUAUAUCAACUAUCUUUAAUUUUGUAUUUAUUUUA